GGCCAGUGAUGUUUCAGUAUUUGCUACUCUUGACCGAGAGGGUGAUGACACAACCACCAAGAUCUCUGAGGCU